UAGGGAAUCUUCGGCAAUGGACGAAAGUCUGACCGAGCAACGCCGCGUGAGUGAAGAAGGUUUUCGGAUCGUAAAACUCUGUUGUUAGAGAAGAACAAGGACGUUAGUGACUGAACGUCCCCUGACGGUAUCUAACCAGAAAGCCACGGCUAACUACGUGCCAGCAGCCGCGGUAAUACGUAGGUGGCAAGCGUUGUCCGGAUUUAUUGGGCGUAAAGCGAGCGCAGGCGGUUACUUAAGUCUGAUGUGAAAGCCCUCGGCUCAACCGGGGAGGGUCAUUAGAAACUGGGAGACUUGAGUGCAGAAGAGGAGAGUGGAAUUCCAUGUGUAGCGGUGAAAUGCGUAGAUAUAUGGAGGAACACCAGUGGCGAAGGCGGCUCUCUGGUCUGUAACUGACGCUGAGGCUCGAAAGCGUGGGGAGCAAACAGG
rnacentral:rRNA from 1 species